rnacentral:lncRNA from 1 species
AUUCGAUUCCAUUCGAUGAUUCCAUUCGAUUCCAUUCGAUGAUGAUUCCAUUCGUUUCCAUUUGAUUAUUCCAUUCUAUUCCAUUCAGUGAUGAUUCCAUUAGAGUCAAUUCGAUGAUUCCGUUGGAGUCCAUUUGAUGAGGAUUCCAUUCAGUGAUUCCAUUCAAUUCUAUUUGAUAAUGAUUCCAAUCGAUUCCAUUCUAUGUUGAUUCCAUGGGAUUCCAUUCUAUGAUUUCAUUCGAUUGCAUUAGACAAUGACUCCAUUCGAUUCCAUUUGAUGAUUCCAUUCGAUUCUAUUUGAUGAUGAUUCCAUUCGAUUCCAUUUGAUGAUGAUUGCAUUCUAUUCAAUUCGAUGAUGAUUCCAUUCGUGUCCAUUAGAUGAUUCCAUACGAUUCCAUUCGAUGACGAUUCCAUUUGAUUCCAUUCGAUGAUGAUUCCAUUCGUGUCCAUUCGAUGAUUCCAUUCUUCUCCACUCGAUGAUGAUUACAUUCAAGUCUAUUCGCUGAUUCUAUUAGAGUCCAUUGAAUGAUUGCUUUUGAUUCCAUUCGAUGCUGAUUCCAUUCCAUUCCAUUCCAUUCCAUUCCAUUCGAUGAUGAUUCCAUUCGAUACCAUUCUAUGAUUCCUUUAGAUUCCAUUUCAUGCUGAUUCCAUUCAAUUUCAUUCAAAGAUUCUAUUCGAAUCCAUUCAAUGAUGAUUCCAUUCGAUUCCAUUUGAUGAUUCCAUUUGAUUUCAUUUGAUGAUGAUUCCAUUUGAUUCCAUUUGGUGAUUCCAUUCAAUGAUGGAUCCAUUCCAGUCCAUUCAAUGAUUCCUUUCUACUCUAUAUGAUGAUGAUUCCAUGCGAGGGCAUUCAAUGGUGAUUCCUUUGGAUACCAUUCGAUGAUUCCAUUCGAUUCCAUUCAAUGAUGAUUGCAUUCGAUUCCAUUCGAUGAUUCCAUUGGAUUCCAUUCAAAGAUGAUUCCAUUCGAUUCCAUUUGAUAAUUCCAUGCGAUUCCAUUUGAUCGUUCCAAUGGAUUCCAUUUGAUGAUGAUUCCAUUUGUGUCCAUUCGGUGAUUCCAUUCAAUUGCAUCAGAUGAUCAUUCCAUUCGAGUGAAUUCGAUGUUUCCAAUCAAUUCCAUUCAAUGAUGCUUCCAUUCGAGGCUGUCUGAUGACUCUAUUCAUUUCCAUUCUACAAUGAUUCCCUUUGAGUCCUUUUGAAGAUUUGAUUCGAGUCCUUUUGAUGAUCCCGUUCGAUUCCAUUCGAUGAUGAUUCCGUUCGAGUCCAUUUGACGCGUCCCUUGGAGUACAUUUGAUGAUUCCAUUCGAGUCUAGCUGAUGAUUCCAUUCAAUUCCAUUCUGUGAUGUUUCCGUAUGAUUCCAUUCGAUGAUGAUAACAUGUGAUUCCUUUCGAUGAUGAUUCAUUUUAAUUGCGUUUGAUUAUGAUUCAUUUCCAGUUCAUUCGAUGAUUCCACAUGAUUCCAUUCGAUGAUGAUUCCAUUCGAGUGUAUUUGAUGAUUCCUUACGAUUCCAUUAGAAGAUGAUUCCAUUUGAUUCCGUUCAUUGGUGAUCCCAUUCAAUUCCAUUCAAUGAUUCCAUUCCAUUCCAUUCAACAAUGAUUCCUUUUGAUUCCAUUUGAUGAUUCCUUCCACUUGAUUCCAUUUGUUGAUGAUUCCAUUCGAUUCCAUUCGAUGAUGAUUGCCUUCAAUUCCAUUCGAUGAUUCCAUUCGAUUCCAUUCGAUGACGAUUCGGUUUGAUUCCAUGGGAUGAUUCCAUUCGAGUCCAUUCGAUGAUUCCAUUCGAUUCCAUUUGAUGAUGAUUCCAUUUGAGUCCAUUCGAUGAUUCCAUUCGAGUCCAUUCAAUGAUUCCAUUCAUUCGUGUCCUUUAGAUGAUUCCAUUCGAGUCCAUUCAAUCAUUGCAUUCAAUUCCUUUCGAUGAUUCCAUUCGAUUCUAUUUGAUGUUUCCAUUCGAGUCCAUUUGUUCAUUCAUUCGUGUCCAUUCGAUGACUCCAUUCGAUUCCAUUUGAUGAUGAUCCCAUUUGAUGAUGAUUCCAUUCGAGUCCAUUUGAUGACUCCAUUUGAUUCCAUUCGAUGAUGAUUCCAUUCGUGUCCAUUCAAUGUUUUUGUUCUAUUCCAUUCAAUGAGUAUUCCCUUCAAAUCCAUUUGAUGAUUGUAUUCAAGUCCAUUCAGUGAUUGCUUUCGAUUCCAUUCGAUAUUGAUUCCCUUUGAUUCCAUUCGAUGAGGAUUCCAUUCGAUGUCAUUCUAGGAUUCCAUUCGAUUCCACUUGAUGUUGAUUGCAUUUGAUUCCAUUUGAUUAUUCUAUUCGAAUAUUUUUGAUGACGAUUCCAUUCGAUUCAAUUCAGUGAUUCCUGUUCAUUACAGUUGAUGAUGAUUCCUUUCGAUUCCUUUCGAUGAUUCCAUUUGAUUCCAAUCGAUGAUGUUUCCAUUCGAGUCCAUUCGAUGAUUCCAUUCGAUUCCAUUCAAUGAUGAUUCCAUUCGAGUCCAUUCAAUGGUGAUUCCAUUGGAUUCCAUUCGAUGAUUCCAUUCGAUUCCGUUCGAUGAUUGCAUUCGAUUCCAUUUGAUGAUUCCCUUCGUUUCCAUUCAAAGUUUAUUCCAUUCGAGUCCGUUUGAUAAUUCCAUUCGAUUCCAUUCUCCGAUGAUUCCAUUCGAGACCGUUCGAUGAUUCCAUUCAAUUCCCGUUGACGAUGAUUCCAUUCGAGUCCAUUCAAUGAUUUCAUUGGAUUCCAUUUGAUGAUGACUCCUUCCGGUUCCAUUCCAUGAUGAUUCCAUUCGGUUCCAUUAGAUAGUGAUUCCAUUCAAGUCCAUUCGAUGAUUCCAUUCGAUUCCAUUCGAUGAUGAUUCCGUUCCGGUCCAUUCGAUGAUUCCUUUCGAUUCCACUUGAUGUUGAUUCCAUUUGAGUCCAUUUGAUUGUUCCCUUUGAAUGCAUUCCAUGAUUCCUUUCGAUUCCAUUUGAUAUUGCUUCCAUUCGAGUCCAUUCGAUGAUUCCAUUUGAUUUCAUUCAAUGAUGAUUCGAUUCAAUUCCGUUCGAUGAUUCCAUUUGAUUCCAUUCGAUGACAACUCCAUUCGAGUCCAUUCGAUGAUUCCUUUCGAGUCCAUUUGAUGAUUCUAUUUGGUUCCAUUCGAUGAUGAUUCCUUUCAAUUCCAUUCGUUGGUGAUUCCAUUCGAUUCCAUUCGAUGAUGAUUCCAUUCAAUUGCAUUCGAUGAUGAUUCCAUUCGAUUCCAUUCGAUGAAGAUUCCAUGCGGUUUCAUUCGAUGAUUCUAUUCAAUUCCUUUCUAUGAUUAUUCAAUUCUUUUCCAUUUGAUGAUUCCAUGUGAUUCCAUUUGAUGAUGAUUCCAUUCGUUUGCAUUCGAUGAUGAUUCCAUUCAGGUCCAUUCAAAGAUUCCAUUGGAUUCCAUUCUAUGAUGAUUGCAUUCGAGUUCAUUUGAUGAUUCCAUUCGACUCCAUUCGAUGAUGAUUUCAUUCGUUGAUCUUCAAUGAUUCCAUUCGAUUCUAUUUGCUGAUGAUUCCAUUCGACUCCAUUCAAUGAUUCCAUUCGAUUCCAUUCAAUGAGGAUUCCAUUCGAGUCCAUUUGAUGAUUCUGUUCAAUUCCAUUCGAUGAUGAUUCCUCUCAAAUCCAUUUGAUGAUUCCAUUCGAGUACAUUCGAUUAUUCCAUUUGAUUUUAUUCGAUGAUGAUUCCAUUCGAUGCCAUUCGAUGAUUCCGUUCGAUUCCAUUCAAUGGUGAUUCCAUUCGAUGCCAUUCGAUGAUUCCAUUCAAUCCUAUUUGAUGAUGAUUCCAUCCGUGUCCAUUCGAUGAUUCCGUUCGUUUCCAUUCGAUGAUGAUUCCAUUUGAAUCCAUUCGAUGAUUCCUAUCGAUUCCAUUCGAUGACUCCGUUCAAUCCCAUUCGAUGUUUCCCUUCGAUUGUCUUUGAUGAUCAUUCCAUUCGAUUCAAUUUGGUGAUUCCAUUCGAUGAUGAUUCCGUUCGAUUCCAUUCGAUGAGGAUUCCAUUCGAUUCCAUUUGAUGAUGAUUCCAAUCGAUUCCAUUUGACGAUGAUUCCAUUCGAGUCCAUUUGAUGAUUCCAUUCGAUUCCAUUUGAUGAUGAUUCCACUCAAGCCCAUUCGAUUAUUCCAUUCGAGUC